AUGCAACAAGCUGGGCCUGGUUAUGUUUCUGUUGCAACUCGAAUGCUUUCUCAGAGGACAACAGCUCUGGAGCAGGAUAUUGAGAUCCUUCAGAAGAAGUUAAGUGGAUGCUUAAGAGAGAACCAAAAUUUGCAAGAGGAGCUUGCUGAGGCUUAUCGAGUUAAGAGCCAGCUUGCUGAUUUAUAUGGUGCUGAGCUAUCAAAGACCAAGGAGCUAGAGCAGCAAGUGAGGUUUUUCCAGAGCAGCGUUGCUCAAGCAUUUGCUGAACGAGAUGGUUCAUUGUUGGAGUGUGAGAAAGCAAAGGAGCGAGAAGAAGCAGGGUUAAAAAUGUGCGCUACCUUUGAGGAAAGGACGAGAGAAUAUCAAACUGCAAUGGAAGAUCAGAAACGUUUGAACGAUGCCCUGCAAAUGGAGCUGACAGAACUAAAAGCGCAUACAGAAUCUUCCUUGAAUGUUGUUAAAAAAUUCUAUGAAGUUCGUUCCAGGGAAUGUGAAUGCCCUUCAAACAUUACUUUUAAAGAGAAAUGCUCAAUUCUUCUAGAUGAUUCUGCUGACAGUUGGAGUUUCAACCUGGAUGGCGAAACCUCAACUUCGAAGUACAUUGCAUCUCUAGAACAGGAGAAUGAGUCGCUUAAAGCUAAAAUAUCUAAGCUGCAAAGCAAUCUAAGAAUGAGUUUCGAAAUUGAACAGCACUUGCAAAGAAAUGUACGAACACUGGAAAAGAAACAGGCACUCAAUGAUGAUCUUAUGAGAGAUGGUCUGUCAGCUCUUCAAAAAGUCUAUACACAUCAAAGGGCUGAAAUUAUGAAAAUAUUGGGAGAAGAAUCACUUCUGUUAAGCACGGCUGUUAAUGAGAUUCAAGACAAGUUAACUCAAAUUUGCAUCAAUGCUGAGAUCAUUGGUAACCCUGUUGAGAAGAUGCAAUGCUGUGACAGUAGUUGUAAAGACGUGCAUGUUACUAUGGAUAUUGGCCUUGAAACCAUCCCCAAGGGUGAUGUUCCUACAGGUUAUUCUACAACAUUUGAUGAUUCAAAAGCACUUGCUCAAACUUUGCAGGAGAAGAUGGAGGCGCUUAUGCUUUUCUCACAGGAACAAGAAAGAUACCUGUUGGAAAAACAGAAGAACCAAGCUAUUAUAGAGGACCUUCAGAAGAACUUAUCUCAAGUUAAAGAUGAAAAGGUGAAGGUCCUGAUGGAGUUAGCAAAACUGAAAGAAGCUUAUCUCCUGAAAUGCAGCUCUACUGCAAAUGAUGGUCAUGGUAUUGUUGAUACUCCAAAAAUCAUUUCUGGGCAUGACCAACAAGGGAUGCUGAAGACUAUUCUUAACAGAACAUCUCUAAGACAAUGGAUAAAAAAGGAAAAUAAUACUGGGCAUGAGAGCUCUCGUGGAAAUGAUCAGACAGUUUGUAGAGGGUGCUCAGUAGAUCUAUCAAGGAUGAAAGUUGAAAAUGCUACCCUUUUGGAAAGUGUUGCUACUAUGGAACGUCUCACUUCUUUGGUUCAUAGGCUGCACAGAGUGCUUAUGAAGGUAUAUGAUGAUGUCAAAUCCGGCUGUUCUUUGGAGAGUAGUUAUGAAGCACUGAACAGUCUUAUAACAGAAGCAAACCUUAUGAGAACGGCUCUGGGCGUCGUUCUCCCAGUAAGCUGGCCAGGGGAUUCAUCAGGUGGUAUCACUUCAGACUCGCCUAAAUCAUCAAAAUCCGAAAAGGCGGACCCCCUUGGUUCCGCUAGCAUGGAGAUGUUGGAGCUACUUAGCUGCGGAUAUCCUCAGAGAGAGCUUUAUGUUCAAGAAAUGAUUAAAGAUUCAGAAGCAUGUAUACAAUUUAAUCUUGAGAGAGAAUUGUCGCUUGAGUUGAUUUCUUACUGUGUACUGCUACUCUGA
rnacentral:rRNA from 1 species